rnacentral:tRNA from 1 species
GCGACACUAGCUCAGUUGGUAGAGCGCAACCUUGCCAAGGUGGAGGUCACGAGUUCGAACCUCGUGUGUCGCUCCA